rnacentral:rRNA from 1 species
AUGAACGCUAGCUGGCAGGCCUAAUACAUGCAAGUCGUACGGGAUUGGGGAGCUUGCUCCCCAUGAGAGUGGCGCACGGGUGCGUAACACGUAUGCAACCUACCUUUAACUGGGGGAUAGCCUUUCGAAAGAGAGAUUAAUACCGCAUAAGACAGCACGAUCGCAUGAAAGAGUUGUUAAAGCUUCGGUGGUUAAAGAUGGGCAUGCGUUGCAUUAGCUAGUUGGUAAGGGUAACGGCUUACCAAGGCUACGAUGCAUAGGGGAUCUGAGAGGAUGAUCCCCCACACUGGUACUGAGACACGGACCAGACUCCUACGGGAGGCAGCAGUAAGGAAUAUUGGUCAAUGGGCGCAAGCCUGAACCAGCCAUGCCGCGUGCAGGAAGACGGCCCUAUGGGUUGUAAACUGCUUUUAUCGGGGAAUAAACCUCAUUACGUGUAAUGAGUUGAAGGUACCCGAAGAAUAAGGAUCGGCUAACUCCGUGCCAGCAGCCGCGGUAAUAGCGGAGGAUCCAAGCGUUAUCCGGAUUUAUUGGGUUUAAAGGGUGCGUAGGCGGUUUAUUAAGUCAGUGGUGAAAGCCCGGAGCUCAACUUCGGAACUGCCAUUGAUACUGAUAGACUUGAGUACAGAUGAAGUGGGCGGAAUGUGACAAGUAGCGGGUGAAAUGCUUAGAUAUGUCACAGAACACCGAUUGCGAAGGCAGCUCACUAAAGUGUAACUGACGCUGAGGCACGAAAGCGUGGGGAUCAAACAGGAUUAGAUACCCUGGUAGUCCACGCCCUAAACGAUGAUUACUCGCUGUUAGCGAUAUACAGUUAGCGGCUAAGCGAAAGCGUUAAGUAAUCCACCUGGGGAGUACGGUCGCAAGAUUGAAACUCAAAGGAAUUGACGGGGGCCCGCACAAGCGGAGGAGCAUGUGGUUUAAUUCGAUGAUACGCGAGGAACCUUACCCGGGCUUGAAAGUUAGUGAAGAAUGUAGAAAUAUAUUCGUCCGCAAGGACACGAAACUAGGUGCUGCAUGGCUGUCGUCAGCUCGUGCCGUGAGGUGUUGGGUUAAGUCCCGCAACGAGCGCAACCCCUAUGUUUAGUUGCCAGCAUGUAAAGAUGGGGACUCUAAACAGACUGCCUGUGCAAACAGAGAGGAAGGAGGGGACGACGUCAAGUCAUCAUGGCCCUUACGUCCGGGGCUACACACGUGCUACAAUGGAUGGUACAGAGGGCUGCAAGCUGGUAACAGCAAGCCAAUCUCAAAAAGCCAUUCACAGUUCGGAUUGAGGUCUGCAACUCGACCUCAUGAAGUUGGAUUCGCUAGUAAUCGCGUAUCAGCAAUGACGCGGUGAAUACGUUCCCGGGCCUUGUACACACCGCCCGUCAAGCCAUGGAAGCUGGGGGUGCCUAAAGUCCGUCACCGCAAGGAUCGGCCUAGGGCAAAACUGGUAACUAGGGCU